rnacentral:rRNA from 1 species
ACCAGGCCUUGACAUGCAGAGAACUUUCCAGAGAUGGAUUGGUGCCUUCGGGAACUCUGACACAGGUGCUGCAUGGCCGUCGUCAGCUCGUGUCGUGAGAUGUUGGGUUAAGUCCGUAACGAGCGCAACCCUUGUCCUUAGUUACCAGCACGUUAUGGUGGGCACUCUAAGGAGACUGCCGGUGACAACCGGAGGAAGUGGGGAUGACGUCAAGUCAUCAUGGCCCUUACGGCCUGGGCUACACACGUGCUACAAUGGUCGGUACAAAGGGUUGCCAAGCCGCGAGGUGGAGCUAAUCCCAUAAAACCGAUCGUAGUCCGGAUCGCAGUCUGCAACUCGACUGCGUGAAGUCGGAAUCGCUAGUAAUCGUGAAUCAGAAUGUCACGGUGAAUACGUUCCCGGGCCUU